GCUGGUUUAGCAACCACCGCAACUUUGUCAUGAUUAGCUGAGUUGCUCUUCCCAACGCAACUGCUUUUCUCUUUUUGGAAAGGCUGAAAUGCGCCUCCUCCCCCUCCUCCGUUGCUUCUCUUCACUUCCUUCACCGCCGCUUUUCUCGGUACAUCCUUUUUUUUUUAAUUCAAAAGAAACGGAAAUUUAAAUUUCAGUUCAUCUAUCUACUGAUCAACUAUCUCUUCUUUUUUUCUCAGCAACCAAGCAGUAAGAAUGGUAAUUAUUUACCCCCAGUACUUCUCUAACGGAAGGUGGAUCUGGAGAUUGGUUCCACAAUUGAACAGAUCUGAGCCACUCGGAUUUCUUCUUAUGGUCAUUCAUCUUCUCCUUAUUGAUAUCCUCUUCAUCCGCCUUAUCGUCGUCUCUAGUCCUUUUCAGUGAUGAUCUCUCCUUUUGAAAAUGAUAAUCAUCGUCUUCCUCGUCGUGGUGGUCACUGUUGUUGUUUUCUUGAUCAUCGUCGUCAUGGGGCUUGAUAGGGAUGAAUUCUUCAAGGACAG
rnacentral:lncRNA from 1 species